AAGCACUUGGUGUAAUGGAAGCAUCUCAGGCUCAUGACCUGGGGGAGGCGGUUCGAUUCCGUCAGUGCGUG